GUCUUUUCAGCCCCGGAUAGAGACAAAAUGAAGUCCUUGCUGAAUAUGAACCGCAACCAACCAAAUGGAUGCAGUGGAGCGGUGAAAAAAUAAAGAACGGAGGAGGUGCGAUAAGUCGGCAGAUACGUUGCUACCCGCGGCAAACCGGCACCGAAUGAAAUUCUGCAGAUACAAAAAUGUCAUCGCUUCUCGGAUGUGAAACGUGCAUUUCAUACCGAACCAAAGUGUCGGGAUCAUGGCCCCAUUUGUUCAAGGCAUGCUGGAUGUUAAAGGAGGAUGCCGGAUGAUGUCCCGUUCAGAUUUAAAUUGAUAGAACGCUUCGAACGGUUCAGUGUGAACACAGGUGAGGUUGUUUAGCUCUGAUCGACGGAGACAAAAUUGCCUACCGAACAAAAAGAUUAUUCUAUCUGAUGAAGAUUAGAAGAAGAGGAUUGUGUAAUUUAAGCAUAAUAGAAGAAUAAGGGAUCAUUCACUAAUUACGUAACCACAUAUGGGGGGAGGUCUAUCAUUUUCUUACUCUUCAUAUAAACAAAACAUAAUUUGUAUGGGAAAAAUCUUACAAGGGGGAGAGGGAGGUCCGAGAAACCAAGAAAAAAUGUAACCAACAAAAUUAUUGAACGACCCCUUAAUAUAAUGAAUAGUGCGGCAACUAGCUGUAUAAAGUGAGCGCCAAUGGAUGUUUAACCUUCGUAAAAUAAUGAAUGGUUAAGGUGAUGUUGUAGAACCAAACUAGAUUAAUAGAUUCACCUUUGCAUCUCCAAUCUCCUUUGUGCAUCAACAUCUUGCUGAUGUUUAUGCUCUAAUUCAUUUAAUUUUUGUCCGAUUUGUUUGAAAUUUUCAGACUUAAACCAAAAAUUAUCAUAGUUUCCGAGGAUGCUGGGUCAUUAGGCCGAAGGUCAUCAGGCCGAAGGCCAUUAGACCGAAUGGUCAUUAGGCCGAACGGUCAUUAGGCCGAACGGCCAUUAGGCCGAAUGGCCAUUAGGACGAAUGAGAACUGGGGAGUGGAAAGUGAGUAGUGCACAAUGAGGAAGAAGUAGAAAGGGAGAAGGAAAAAGGAGGAAGAAGUAAGAAGGAGGGAGAAGUAAGAAGGAACAAAGAAGAAGGAAGAAGGAAGAAAGAAGAAGGAAGAAGCAAGAAGGAGGAAGGAAGAAGGAAGAAGG